UACGUAGGGGGGCUAGCGUUGUCCGGAAUCAUUGGGCGUAAAGCGCGUGUAGGCGGUCCGGUAAGUCCGCUGUGAAAGUCGGGGGGCUCAACCCCUCGGAUGCCGGUGGAUACUGUCGGGCUUGAGUACGGAAGAGGCGAGUGGAAUUCCUGGUGUAGCGGGUGAAAUGCGCAGAUAUCAGGAGGAACACCAAUUGCGAAGGCAGCUCGCUGGGACGUUACUGACGCUGAGACGCGAAAGCGUGGGGAGCAAACAGG
rnacentral:rRNA from 1 species